UUUUAAUUUAUCUCCCUUUUCCGAAAAUAUCCCAAUUAGUCACUUGAUGAAUUGGAAAACUCUUUGUUAUUGCUGGUAAUGAUAAAAAGGCUUUUCUGUGGUGCACCGAAUCUUUUGACCUGAAAUCUAGGCUUGAAGAGCACACUAAUUUGAUAACUGAUGUUAGAUUUUGUCCAUGUUGCAUUUUGCUACUAACUAAGCGACAACAACUGUGAUGUCAAUAGACUUUCACCCAAGUAAAAACAACCUUAUUUUCUCUUGUGAUAAAGAGGAUAUAAGAUGUUGGAGUAUAGAAAAUGGUAGUUGUGAUGUAGUUUUCAAGGUAUGAAAAUCUCACAAAUAUGGUGAAUAAGAUCUCAAUGUUUAGGUUAAUUAACAAUCAGAUGCAUGUUAUAGUUUCUCAUAUGUUCCGAGAAGGCAACACUUGUGCUAUAUUUUAGUCUGGUACAAUAUCUCUCAUCAUGGUUUUCACUGCUGGUAUGUUCUUCCUUAUUGGAUUAAGUUAGAUUACUUUAGGCAUAGAGUUUCUCUUCGUAAUUACAGAUUCAAAGGAUUGUAAUUUGUUUGAGGUUUUUACUGCACUUUUUUCCUUUUACCAUGGUUUUAUCCCAAUGAAUCUUCUUGAUAAGAUUUUUAACGAGACAAUUGUUCAGUGUUUCAA